GAUGAAGAACGUAGUGAAAUGCGAUAAGUAGUGUGAAUUGCAGAAUUCAGUGAAUCAUCGAAUCUUUGAACGCACAUUGCGCCCUCUGGUAUUCCGGAGGGCAUGCCUGUUCGAGCGUCAUUAAAACUACUCAAGCUAAGGUUUUACCUUCUGCUUGGUCUUGGGUUUGAGGAUUCAAAAUCCUCUCUCCGAAAUCCAGUGGCGAAUUGUUUGAGCUGUAGACGUAGUAAAUCAUUCUACCCGUUGCAAGCGAGAAUAAUAUUCAGCCAUAACCCCCAUACUUUUCUAGUUUGACCUCGGAUCAGGUAGGGAUACCCGCUGAACUUAAGCAUAUCAAUAAGCGGAGGA
rnacentral:misc_RNA from 1 species